GGCUGGCCCAAAGGUAGAAAGUUAUCUUGAUUGACUGUUCAGAGUUACAGGUCAGACUCUUGUUCCAGUCUUCCUCUCUUCCCCCUACUGCACUUGACUAGUCUACA
ensembl:misc_RNA Y_RNA Y RNA